rnacentral:misc_RNA from 1 species
AUUUAUUCCCACGCACACGCAGUCUUUAUUCUCCCGAUGAUUCUCUACCAUUACUGCGGUUGAAUCAUACAGUGACGCACGUCUCCCUUAUGGCAAUUGCAAAGAGCAUUGACAACCCCGAAGGCCUAACAAAUAGCCAUCCACCAGAGUAAGAGCAAGCAUUCCGAGUGUGUGUCUUCUCGGUCCUUCUCCGUUCCCAGUGACUUCUAGAAACUAUGGCCAUGAUCACUAGGAACACUACCUCACGCCUUCCUAUCCUCUUCUCCCAGCAUCGCGGAGCUGCCCUCUCUCUCCAUACCACUCUCCCCUCUCUCUCCGCCGAGGCAACACCUCCCACUCCUUAUGCCUGCCCACCGCCCCCUUCCACCUCUUCCCCCGCCGGCCUUUCCAAGGCAGCGGACUACGUUAUUUCCAAGGUCGAUGAUCUUAUGAACUGGGCUCGCCGCGGCUCCAUCUGGCCCAUGACUUUCGGCCUUGCUUGCUGUGCAGUCGAAAUGAUGCAUACCGGUGCUGCUCGCUACGAUCUGGAUCGAUUUGGUAUCAUUUUCAGGCCCAGUCCUCGCCAAUCUGAUUGUAUGAUUGUCGCUGGUACCCUCACCAAUAAGAUGGCUCCUGCUCUUCGCAGGGUUUAUGACCAAAUGCCUGAGCCAAGGUGGGUCAUCUCCAUGGGCAGUUGUGCAAAUGGUGGGGGAUAUUAUCACUACUCGUAUUCUGUUGUUCGUGGUUGUGACAGGAUUGUCCCUGUAGACAUUUAUGUUCCAGGAUGCCCUCCCACUGCUGAGGCCUUACUCUAUGGGAUACUCCAGCUUCAGAAAAAGAUCAACAGGCGCAAGGAUUUCCUUCAUUGGUGGAGCAAAUGAGUGCUUUUUUAUUUGUUACCGGUAGAGUUCAUUGCAUCUUUAUAAUCUAAUAAAUACAAUUAUGCAUCAGUCCGCCAUUUAAGUGCUGUGUGGAGAAAUACUGUUAGUCUGUUUUUCAAUUCUAGAUCGAAGUCCUUUUCGGUUUUCACCAAAGGCUUUUAUAAUCUGAAUGGAUAUGGUGGCUGCAGAUCCUUAAAACUUAAUUGUAAUUUGGACAUGUAUGAACUUCCUUUAUUACUUGCUUGUGUAAUUACAGAAAGCUGCUUAUUGUUUUUGUAAUGUUGAGACUAAACAAAGAGCUUUUGUUCUCUUUAUAUUUUGAUAGUUGCAUUUGCCAAAUUGCAAUUUUAGAGUAUUGCAUCCUAAUACUCGGUCGAUAAUCUAUCUGCCUUGGCACAGACGCUGUAACGAAACUUUGGUCUACUGACAUAAGCUUUUGUUUUAGUUUAUUGUACCCCUGUGACAUAAGAGAGAGCUUGAUUUUGUAAUUGGAAGAGUGGUCUUCAU